AUGUGUCCCACCUUGCUGUCAUGGAGAGUCUGGCUGAGGAGAUAUGGCUGAAGGUUACUGUUGUCCGCAAAGUAGCAUCGUCGCAGAUUGUCCGAGCUGAUGGAGAAUCAUUUUGUAGUCCAGAUACAGAAGUUGAGUUCACGCUGUUCACCACAAGAGAAAGAUUAUGAGGCUCAUCAAACGGAGAAGCAGUGCUACAUCACGAUCUUAGAAGACCUGCAGAUUCGUAGCAUGGUUUCAGCGAGCAUGUUCUACGAACAAUCGAGGAAAUAUGAAACGUAUUACAACUAUGGGAUGGUACUAGCCAGUAUUGCUACAGGACUGGCUGCAGCUCAGUUAUCUCAGUCCAUUCCCCUGGCGACGGAUAACUAUGCAGCUUUAGCCAAGGGAAUCCUUGCUUCUGUUACGACAGCAUCGACCGCCUACAAACUAGGAAGCACGUACAUUCUUGACGAAUGGAAUCAGAAACAGAAGCAGUACAACGAAGCAGGCGCGGCGUGGCAGAGUAUCGAGUUGCAGAUCCGCCUCUUCCUCUGCUCUUCCAAAAAGGAAACAACUGUUAAAUCAUACAAAGUCUUCACAGAUGCAUGCAUUGAAAAACGACGAGUUAUCUGUUUGAUUGCGAGACCCGAAUCUUCUAUUUACGAGAAAUAUCACGAAAAAGCAAACCCAACGUUGGAGUGGUAUAAAAAGAAAAAUGACAUUAUUACAAAAAUCAGAUCUCAAAUGUUUGAAGACGCAAAGAAGCCAAAGAAACAAUAGGAAGACAACGACUAAAUAAGAUUGAAAAAGUGUUUUCUGGUACUUUAUACAUGCAAGCUUGAGUAUUGAGUGGCUUGGACUUGGAAACUUUCACAUUGGGUGUUUUUGACUGUCUGCAAAUAGAAAGUUUAAUAAUGUUCGGAUUUGCACCUGCUGUCACCGGGUUAUUAAACUACCCUUGUCACGUCGUUCUACUGUGUCGUUGCUUUCUGUGUUAGAGAAUUAGUGACCCGACUAUUUCAUUCUCUUGUGGUUGAAUGACAGUCUUACCAUGUAUCGACUUGAUGUUUGGUAUCUCCUAUAGGUUCGCCACCUUAUUCGUGUAUUCACAAUGUGUUUUGUAACUAUAAAUGAUGUUUAUGGUCAUUUUUGCUUCCUCAAUAGUUGUACAUAGCUUGUUGUAAAUCUUUAAUGAUACCGAUAAUGAUCCUGUGUCUUUACCCCCCCCCCCCCCCCCGUGUCAAAGUGUUGUUUUAGCUUCUGUCAUUUUAUUACUGUAAUACAGUUGCUUACCUAAGCCGCCUGUGUAUUUUCUCUGAUUUAAUUAAUCAGCGAUCUUUGUCAGUGCAGAUUGAGCUUAUGUGAUCUUUUUUUGUCAUCUAUUGGUACAAUUAGUUGUGGAAAUAAACCCGUCAACAGCUU
rnacentral:misc_RNA from 1 species